UACGGGGGGGGCAAGCGUUGUUCGGAAUUACUGGGCGUAAAGGGCUCGUAGGCGGCCAACUAAGUCGGACGUGAAAUCCCCAGGCUCAACCCGGGAACUGCGUCCGAUACUGGAUGGCUUGAAUCCGGGAGAGGGAUGCAGAAUUCCAGGUGUAGCGGUGAAAUGCGUAGAUAUCUGGAGGAAUACCGGUGGCGAAGGCGGCAUCCUGGACCGGCAUUGACGCUGAGGAGCGAAAGCCAGGGGAGCAAACGGG
rnacentral:rRNA from 1 species